UCGUCUGUGGAGAGAGCAUCGUGAGAGGAUCGUGAGAGCAUCGUAAGAGUAUCGUGGCUCUCUCCCCUCUCUCCUGAUCACACUAAUCAUCGUCAUCAUCAUCUUUGACUAUUAAAAUUACGGGAGUCAGCGGAAGAGGAGCCAUGAUCAACGAACGGUGUUAACACGAUAACGAAAGGAGGAGGAGAAGGAGGAGGAAGAAGAAGGAGGAGAAAAAAAGCAAGAAAAUGUAUAAUCUAACCGGAGGUGUUUCUAUUUUUUCUGUCGCAGAUCAAUCGACCAACUUGGACCAAACGAUAAUGGUAACGACGUUCGAUACAUCCUGGCGAUCAACACAAGGAACGGAAUUCAAUAGGAUCAUUAACUUCGAUGAUUGGGAGCCACGGAGGACGUAGAAUCAACGGGUGCAGCUAGAACUAAUCAAUAUAUAUAUAUGUAUGUAUAUAUAUACUAAUCACUGGUUAGCUAUUUGAAAAGAAGAAGAAGAAAAAGAAGAAAAAAAAGAAGAAUAGGAAGAAAAUGGAAGAAUACUCAAAGGCAGUAAAAAUCAUGGAAGACAAUGAAGAUAAUCAAAAUAAUUAAGAUAAUCAAGAAGAUAAAAGGACUGUUCCGGAUCAUCAAGUGGAUUUAUUAUUCAACGUUAACGUAGAACUUUUUAAGAAGAUCAUGAGGAACAUUUUUAUUUCGUGGGAAUCUAUGAAUUUCAUCAUAUUCAAUGACUGAAUCCCUUUUUGUUGUUAUUGUUGUUGUUGUUAUUUGUACAUUAGACAGAACUCAAUUUACAUUUGUAAGAAUAAUAGAAAAAAAAAAUACCUGACAAUUGAUAAACAAAAUCUAUUAACAAAGAUGGAUGCUUGAAAAUAAACAAAGUCAUUGUUCCAUUGGAAAACUCAUACAGGCAUCAUCAAAAUAUAUUCAUCAGGAGAAAUACGCUCGUCAAUACUGAUAAUAAGAUUGAAGUUAUGUGAUAUAAACUGAUAAGGUUUACAUUUAAAAAAAAGUAGAAAAUGUCUGAAGAAUCAUCUGAUCUUAAAAAGUAUGGUCAUUAUGAAAUGAAAUAUAUACAAAUUCCAAAUUAAUAUCAAUGGAGAAUCAAAAUAGUAACAUAGCGAAAAUAAAAAAAAAACUCGCAGAUCCAAGUUAACAGUUUUCAGGAUUGAUAAUGCGAAUAUCAAAUAUCAAAUAUCAGAUAUCCAUUUCCAAAAAAAAAAAACAAAGAUAAUU